AGAGUUUGAUCCUGGCUCAGGAUGAACGCUAGCGAUAGGCUUAACACAUGCAAGUCGAGGGGUAACGUGUUGGAAGCUUGCUUCCGAUGACGACGACCGGCGGAUGGGUGCGUAACGCGUAUGCAACUUGCCUCACAGUGGAGAAUAACCCGGAGAAAUCCGGACUAAUGUUCCAUACACUCUUAAGUACGCCUGUACAUGAGAGGAAAGAUUUAUCGCUGUGAGAUAGGCAUGCGUCCUAUUAGGUAGUUGGUGAGGUAACGGCUCACCAAGCCGACGAUAGGUAGGGGUGCUGAGAGGCAGAUCCCCCACAUUGGGACUGAGACACGGCCCAAACUCCUACGGGAGGCAGCAGUGAGGAAUAUUGGUCAAUGGAGGAAACUCUGAACCAGCCAAGUCGCGUGAAGGAAGAAUGUCCUAAGGAUUGUAAACUUCUUUAGCGAGCGAGUAAGGACUUCCACGUGAUGGGAGUUUGAAAGUAGCUCGAGAAUAAGUAUCGGCUAACUCCGUGCCAGCAGCCGCGGUAAUACGGAGGAUACGAGCGUUAUCCGGAUUUAUUGGGUUUAAAGGGUGCGCAGGUGGUCUUGCAAGUCAGUGGUGAAAAGCUGAGGCUCAACCUCAGCCUUGCCGUUGAAACUGUAAGACUUGAGAGUACAUGAUGUGGGCGGAAUGCGUAGUGUAGCGGUGAAAUGCAUAGAUAUUACGCAGAACUCCGAUUGCGAAGGCAGCUCACAAAGGUAUGUCUGACACUGAGGCACGAAAGCGUGGGGAGCGAACAGGAUUAGAUACCCUGGUAGUCCACGCCGUAAACGAUGAUUACUUACGCCGGCAACGGUGAAACUCAAAGGAAUUGACGGGGGCCCGCACAAGCGGAGGAACAUGUGGUUUAAUUCGAUGAUACGCGAGGAACCUUACCCGGGAUUGAAAUGUAUGUGAGCCUUUUGGGAAACCGAGAGGGUUCUCUUCGGAGACACAUAUGUAGGUGCUGCAUGGUUGUCGUCAGCUCGUGCCGUGAGGUGUCGGCUUAAGUGCCAUAACGAGCGCAACCCUUAUCGUCAGUUACUAACAGGUCAAGCUGAGGACUCUGGCGAGACUGCCGUCGUAAGGCGAGAGGAAGGUGGGGAUGACGUCAAAUCAGCACGGCCCUUACAUCCGGGGCGACACACGUGUUACAAUGGUAGGGACAGAGAGUAGCCACUCGGUGACGAGGAGCGGAUCUUGAAACCCUAUCUCAGUUCGGAUCGGAGUCUGCAACUCGACUCCGUGAAGCCGGAUUCGCUAGUAAUCGCGCAUCAGCCAUGGCGCGGUGAAUACGUUCCCGGGCCUUGUACACACCGCCCGUCAAGCCAUGGAAGUUGGGGGUACCUGAAGUGCGUGACCGCAAGGAGCGUCCGAGGGUAAAUCCAGUGACUGGGGCUAAGUCGUAACAAGGUAGC
rnacentral:rRNA from 1 species